UACGGAGGGGGCUAGCGUUGUUCGGAAUUACUGGGCGUAAAGCGUACGUAGGCGGCUUUGUAAGUUAGAGGUGAAAGCCCGGGGCUCAACUCCGGAAUUGCCUUUAAGACUGCAUCGCUUGAAUCAUGGAGAGGUGAGUGGAAUUCCGAGUGUAGAGGUGAAAUUCGUAGAUAUUCGGAAGAACACCAGUGGCGAAGGCGGCUCACUGGCCCGGUACUGACGCUGAGGUGCGAAAGCGUGGGGAGCAAACAGG
rnacentral:rRNA from 1 species